rnacentral:misc_RNA from 1 species
UAAUUUAUUAAACUCAUUAAAAGGGAUAAGGAAGACCAAAACUUGACAAAAUAAUUCUGCUUCUUCCUCGCCAAACCAAACGUCUCCCUUACCCAAACCCAUUCCUCCAUUAAAAAGCUUUCCAAGCUUCACUCCCCACCAAAUCUCACCAUAAAAUCACUCAAGCUCUUCACUAAACUUGAUCCUCACACCUUAAAUCACCACUAGGCAACAAAAAGAGGAAGGAAAGAGGAAGGAAAGAGGAAGUUUUGUUAGCUUGAAAUUCUGCUCCAAGUGAUUAGUGUUCAAACUCUUACUACUUUUGAUUUAAUUCAUGUUUAAUGGCAUGAAAUAAGUAGGAAAUGUAAGAAAACAACAUAAAAUUGUGUGUACACACCCUUAUAAUUUCGGCAGCUAGGGUUGAUUAGGGUUUGAUGAUUUUUCUUGAUAGCAAAGUGGUUAUGAGCUGCCAUUGGUAUGAGAUGAGUGAUUGAAAAAGUUUGUGUAAGUGAAAUGCAAGUGGAAUACAUGAAAGAACUUGAAAAAAAUAUGGACACUUGAACAAUAUUAGGGUUUGCUCAUAUA